rnacentral:rRNA from 1 species
AUUGAACGCUGGCGGCAUGCCUUACACAUGCAAGUCGAACGGUAGAGUAGCAAUACUUGAGAGUGGCGAACGGGUGAGUAAUAUAUCGGAACGUGCCCAGUCGUGGGGGGAUAACGUAGAGAAAUUUACGCUAAUACCGCAUACGAUCUAAGGAUGAAAGCGGGGGAUUCGCAAGAACCUCGCGCGAUUGGAGCGGCUGAUAUCAGAUUAGGUUGUUGGUGAGGUAAAAGCUCACCAAGCCGACGAUCUGUAGCUGGUUUGAGAGAACGACCAGCCACACUGGGACUGAGACACGGCCCAGACUCCUACGGGAGGCAGCAGUGGGGAAUUUUUGGACAAUGGGCGAAAGCCUGAUCCAGCAAUGCCGCGUGCAGGAAGAAGGCCUUC